GAUGAACGCUGGCGGCGUGCCUAAUACAUGCAAGUCGAGCGAAUGGAUUAAGAGCUUGCUCUUAUGAAGUUAGCGGCGGACGGGUGAGUAACACGUGGGUAACCUGCCCAUAAGAUUGGGAUAACUCCGGGAAACCGGGGCUAAUACCGGAUAACAUUUUGAACCGCAUGGUUCGAAAUUGAAAGGCGGCUUCGGCUGUCACUUAUGGAUGGACCCGCGUCGCAUUAGCUAGUUGGUGAGGUAACGGCUCACCAAGGCAACGAUGCGUAGCCGACCUGAGAGGGUGAUCGGCCACACUGGGACUGAGACACGGCCCAGACUCCUACGGGAGGCAGCAGUAGAGAAUCUUCCGCAAUGGACGAAAGUCUGACGGAGCAACGCCGCGUGAGUGAUGAAGGCUUUCGGGUCGUAAAACUCUGUUGUUAGGGAAGAACAAGUGCUAGUUGAAUAAGCUGGCACCUUGACGGUACCUAACCAGAAAGCCACGGCUAACUACGUGCCAGCAGCCGCAGUAA
rnacentral:rRNA from 1 species